rnacentral:rRNA from 1 species
UACGUAGGGUGCGAGCGUUGUCCGGAAUUACUGGGCGUAAAGGGCUCGUAGGUGGCCAACUAAGUCAGACGUGAAAUCCCUCAGCUUAACUGGGGAACUGCGUCUGAUACUGGAUGGCUUGAGUUUGGGAGAGGGACGCGGAAUUCCAGGUGUAGCGGUGAAAUGCGUAGAUAUCAGGAAGAACACCGGUGGCGAAGGCGCUCUGCUAGGCCGUAACUGACACUGAGGGACGAAAGCUAGGGGAGCGAAUGGG